AUUGAACGCUGGCGGCAGGCCUAACACAUGCAAGUCGAGCGGGGUUUUCGGACCUAGCGGCGGACGGGUGAGUAAUGCGUAGGAAGCUACCCGAUAGAGGGGGAUACCAGUUGGAAACGACUGUUAAUACCGCAUAAUGUCUACGGACCAAAGUGUGGGACCUUCGGGCCACAUGCUAUCGGAUGCGCCUACGUGGGAUUAGCUAGUUGGUGAGGUAAUGGCGCACCAAGGCGACGAUCCCUAGCUGGUUUGAGAGGAUGAUCAGCCACACUGGAACUGAGACACGGUCGAGACUCCUACGGGAGGCAGCAGUGGGGAAUAUUGGACAAGGGGCGAAAGCCUGACGCAGCGACGCCGCGUGAGGGAAGAAGGCCUUCGGGUUGUAAACCUCUUUCAGGAGGGACGAAGCCACUCGGGUUAAUAGCCCAGAGGGUGUCGGUACCUCCAGAAGAAGCCCCGGCUAACUACGUGCCAGCCGCCGCAGUAAGAC
rnacentral:rRNA from 1 species